UGGGGAAUUUUGGACAAUGGGGGAAACCCUGAUCCAGCCAUCCCGCGUGUGCGAUGAAGGCCUUCGGGUUGUAAAGCACUUUUGGCAGGAAAGAAACGUCGCGGGUUAAUACCCCGCGAAACUGACGGUACCUGCAGAAUAAGCACCGGCUAACUACGUGCCAGCAGCCGCGGUAAUACGUAGGGUGCAAGCGUUAAUCGGAAUUACUGGGCGUAAAGCGUGCGCAGGCGGUUCGGAAAGAAAGAUGUGAAAUCCCAGAGCUUAACUUUGGAACUGCAUUUUUAACUACCGGGCUAGAGUGUGUCAGAGGGAGGUGGAAUUCCGCGUGUAGCAGUGAAAUGCGUAGAUAUGCGGAGGAACACCGAUGGCGAAGGCAGCCUCCUGGGAUAACACUGACGCUCAUGCACGAAAGCGUGGGGAGCAAACAGGAUUAGAUACCCUGGUAGUCCACGCCCUAAACGAUGUCAACUAGCUGUUGGGGCCUUCGGGCCUUGGUAGCGCAGCUAACGCGUGAAGUUGACCGCCUGGGGAGUACGGUCGCAAGAUUAAAACUCAAAUGAAUG
rnacentral:rRNA from 1 species